rnacentral:rRNA from 1 species
GACGGGUGUUCGCCGCCCGACUCGGCGAGAAGUCCAUUGAACCUUAUCAUUUAGAGGAAGGAGAAGUCGUAACAAGGUUUCCGUAGGUGAACCUGCGGAAGGAUCAUUG